GUGCCAGCAGCCGCGGUAAUACAGAGGGUGCGAGCGUUGUCCGGAAUCACUGGGCGUAAAGGGCGCGUAGGCGGCCUGAUAAGUAGGGGGUGAAAUCCUGUGGCUUAACUGCAGGGCUGCCUCCUAGACUGUUAGGCUCGAGCACGGUAGAGGCAGAUGGAAUUCCCGGUGUAGCGGUGGAAUGCGUAGAGAUCGGGAAGAACAUCGGUGGCGAAGGCGGUCUGCUGGGCCGUUGCUGACGCUGAGGCGCGACAGCGUGGGGAGCAAACAGGAUUAGAUACCCUGGUAGUCC
rnacentral:rRNA from 1 species